UAGUCCACGCCGUAAACGAUGGUCACUAGCUGUUCGGACUUCGGUCUGAGUGGCUAAGAGAAAUUGAUAAGUGACCCACCUGGGGAGUACGUUCGCAAGAAUGAAACUCAAAGGAAUUGACGGGGGCCCGCACAAGCGGUGGAGCAUGUGGUUUAAUUCGAUGAUACGCGAGGAACCUUACCAGGGCUUGACAUGUCACAAAUUUUUGCGAGAGCAAAAAAGUGCCUUCGGGAAUGUGAACACAGGUGGUGCAAUGGCUGUCGUCAGCUCGUGUCGUGAGGUGUUGGGUUAAAGUCCCGCAAACGAGCGCAAACCCUUGUCUUUAGUUGCCAUCAUUAAAGUUGGGCACUUUAAAGAGACUGCCGGUGACAAAACCGGAGGAAGGUAAGGAUGACGUCAAAGUCAGCAAUGCCCCUUAUGCUCUGGGCUACACACGUGCUACAAAUGGCCGUGACAAAAGAGUUGCUACUUUGUGAAAAACAAGCUAAAUCUCAUAAAACGCGGCCUCAGUUCGGAUUGC
rnacentral:rRNA from 1 species